CAGCCGCCGCGGUAACACCAGCCCCUCGAGUGGUGGGGACUAUUAUUUGGUCUAAAGCGUCCGUAGCUGGCUGUAUCCGUCCUCCGUUAAAUCCAGCGUCCUAAGCGUCGGUUCUCGGGUGAUACCAUACAGCUAGAGGGUGGGAUAGGUGGGCGGUAUUUCUGGGGUAGGGGCGAAAUCCUUUGAUCCCAGGAGGACCACCAGUGGCGAAGGCUGCUCACUAGAACACGCCUGACGGUCAGGGACGAAAGCUGGGGCAGCGAACCGGAUUAGAUACCCGGGUAGUCCCAGCUGUAAACGAUGCAGACUAGGUGUUGGAACGGCUACGUGCCGCUUCAGUGCCGCAGAGAAGUCAUUAAGUCUGCCGCCUGGGGAGUACGGCCGCAAGGCUGAAACUUAAAGGAAUUGGCGGGGGAGCAC
rnacentral:rRNA from 1 species